rnacentral:rRNA from 1 species
UACGUAGGCAGCAAGCGUUGUUCGGAGUUACUGGGCGUAAAGGGUGUGUAGGCGGUUGUUUAAGUUUGGUGUGAAAUCUCCCCGGCUCAACCGGGAGGGUGCGCCGAAUACUGAAUGACUAGAGUGCGGGAGAGGAAAGUGGAAUUCCUGGUGUAGCGGUGAAAUGCGUAGAUAUCAGGAGGAACACCGGUGGUGUAGACGGCUUUCUGGACCGUAACUGACGCUGAGACACGAAAGCGUGGGUAGCAAACAGG